rnacentral:rRNA from 1 species
GGUUAAGCGACUAAGCGUACACGGUGGAUGCCUUGGCAGUCAGAGGCGAUGAAGGACGUGCUAAUCUGCGAUAAGCGUCGGUAAGGUGAUAUGAACCGUUAUAACCGGCGAUUUCCGAAUGGGGAAACCCAGUGUGAUUCGUCACACUAUCAUUAACUGAAUCCAUAGGUUAAUGAGGCGAACCGGGGGAACUGAAACAUCUAAGUACCCCGAGGAAAAGAAAUCAACCGAGAUUCCCCCAGUAGCGGCGAGCGAACGGGGAGCAGCCCAGAGCCUGAAUCAGUAUGUGUGUUAGUGGAAGCGUCUGGAAAGGCGCGCGAUACAGGGUGACAGCCCCGUACACAAAAAUGCACAUGCUGUGAGCUCGAUGAGUAGGGCGGGACACGUGGUAUCCUGUCUGAAUAUGGGGGGACCAUCCUCCAAGGCUAAAUACUCCUGACUGACCGAUAGUGAACCAGUACCGUGAGGGAAAGGCGAAAAGAACCCCGGCGAGGGGAGUGAAAAAGAACCUGAAACCGUGUACGUACAAGCAGUGGGAGCACGCUUAGGCGUGUGACUGCGUACCUUUUGUAUAAUGGGUCAGCGACUUAUAUUCUGUAGCAAGGUUAACCGAAUAGGGGAGCCGAAGGGAAACCGAGUCUUAACUGGGCGUUAAGUUGCAGGGUAUAGACCCGAAACCCGGUGAUCUAGCCAUGGGCAGGUUGAAGGUUGGGUAACACUAACUGGAGGACCGAACCGACUAAUGUUGAAAAAUUAGCGGAUGACUUGUGGCUGGGGGUGAAAGGCCAAUCAAACCGGGAGAUAGCUGGUUCUCCCCGAAAGCUAUUUAGGUAGCGCCUCGUGAAUUCAUCUCCGGGGGUAGAGCACUGUUUCGGCAAGGGGGUCAUCCCGACUUACCAACCCGAUGCAAACUGCGAAUACCGGAGAAUGUUAUCACGGGAGACACACGGCGGGUGCUAACGUCCGUCGUGAAGAGGGAAACAACCCAGACCGCCAGCUAAGGUCCCAAAGUCAUGGUUAAGUGGGAAACGAUGUGGGAAGGCCCAGACAGCCAGGAUGUUGGCUUAGAAGCAGCCAUCAUUUAAAGAAAGCGUAAUAGCUCACUGGUCGAGUCGGCCUGCGCGGAAGAUGUAACGGGGCUAAACCAUGCACCGAAGCUGCGGCAGCGACGCUGAUGCGUUGUUGGGUA